GAUGAACGCUGACAGAAUGCUUAACACAUGCAAGUCUACUUGAUUCUACUUCGGUAGUUGAUGGUGGCGGACGGGUGAGUAACGCGUAAGGAAUCUGCCCUUUAGUUUGGGAUAACCUUUGGAAACGAAGGCUAAUACCGGAUAUUAUGGAGACGUCGCAUGACGACUCCAUGAAAGCUAUAUGCGCUAGAGGAGGACUUUGCGUCCCAUUAGUUAGUUGGUGAGGUAAUGGCUCACCAAGACCGCGAUGGGUAGCCGGCCUGAGAGGGUGAACGGCAACAAAGGAACUGAGACACGGUCCUUACUCCUACGGGAGGCAGCAGUGGGGAAUAUUGGACAAUGGGCCACAAGCCUGAUCCAGCAAUUCUGUGUGCACGAUGAAGGUCUUCGGAUUGUAAAGUGCUUUCAGUAGGGAAGAAAAAAAUGACGGUACCUACAGAAGAAGCGACGGCUAAAUAUGUGCCAGCCGCCGCAGUAA
rnacentral:rRNA from 1 species